UACGAAGGGGGCGAGCGUUGUUCGGAAUUACUGGGCGUAAAGGGCGCGUAGGCGGCCCCCUUUGUCGCGUGUGAAAGCCCCGGGCUCAACCUGGGAACGGCGCGCGAAACGGGGGGGCUUGAGUUCGGGAGAGGAGAGUGGAAUUCCCAGUGUAGAGGUGAAAUUCGUAGAUAUUGGGAAGAACACCGGUGGCGAAGGCGGCUCUCUGGACCGAGACUGACGCUGAGGCGCGAAAGCGUGGGGAGCGAACAGG
rnacentral:rRNA from 1 species